GAUACUUUUCUGGAUCUGCACACAAGGUACAGGGAAUAAAGUGAGUACUCCGACCUAGUGAGUAAUACAAUAAAAUACAAUCUGAAGAUAAGAAAUCACAGUAAAUACACAAAGUAAGCUAAAAAUCCAGUACACUGCGACAUAUGGAACUGAGUAGUUAAAUAACAAUAUAAUACAAAUACAUGUAUGCAAUGUAAUGCAUAUGAUGGUACAUUCCAGUACCCACUGCGGCGUGCAGCCCGAGCCAUCCAUAUUUAUUUAUCGUCGACGGCGCUCACCGGGGGUGUGUACAGACUCCAGAGAGGCUCCUACAGCCCAAGCGUAAUAUACUGGUCAGUCAAUGUUACCUGACCGUUCAGCCAAUGUUAUAUGACCAAUUUAUAUCAUACAGUGCCAUUGUUACCAUUGUUCCAAGUAUAACAUACAUUGUCAUUAUUACCGCUGUUUUAAGUAUAUAUAUUACAGUGUCAUUGUUACCACCGUUUCAAGUCACCUUAUUAUCAGUUCAGAAAAUAAUAUAGUAAGCCCCUUGGGAAUUUACAAAAUAGAAGUUUCCAGCCUGAAAUGCAUUUAAAUGUCGUUUAAGUUUUCAAAACUUAGAAAUACGGCUGAGUUAGCAAAACAUCAUUUGUAACCUUGGACUGAAGUUAGAUGAUAUGUAAAUCAUGCUAAGCAGUAUUAUCAACCCUCGAAGGAUUUUACAAGUCGGCACAAAGCCCCAAACAUGACAUCAAGCCCAGUAUAUCAAUAAAGUAUGUGUAUCAGUCACCAGUGUAGUAUAAAAUCAUACGGGAUGGACCAAGUCAUAAUCCCCAAUAAUAUCCGACCCCACACUCGUCGUGAAAUGCGUGUCACGCCUCAAUAUAGCGUUAAGAUGUGAAAGUCUGGGGUUUCAACCCUCAGAACAUCAUUUACAUCUAUUACUCACCUCUAACCGGUCAAAUACUACUUCGCGAUGCCCUUUCCUUUCGUAUCGACCUACUCGUGCGUCGAAUCUGGCCAAAACCACAACGAAUACAUUACAUUAUGCUAAGGGAUUGUAACCCAAUCGAAAAGACUCGAAAAAUAUCGAAAUUCACUAAAUUCGCAAACCUGAGCCCCGGGCCCACUUUUCGAAAAAUUAUGAAAGUCACAUCACCGGAUUCCUCGUCUCGCCACGAGUCCGUACAUAUAAANNNNNNNNNNNNNNNNNNNNNNNNNNNNNNNNNNNNNNNNNNNNNNNNNNNNNNNNNNNNNNNNNNNNNNNNNNNNNNNNNNNNNNNNNNNNNNNNNNNNNNNNNNNNNNNNNNNNNNNNNNNNNNNNNNNNNNNNNNNNNNNNNNNNNNNNNNNNUACAAUUUUCAUGCUCAAAUCCAUACAUAAUUGAUGUACUUAACUCAAAAUAGGUGGGGAUAACUUACCUUCACAUUGAUGAUGAAAUUCCCCUGAAGCUCUCCAAAAAUCGUCCACAUCUUUAAGAAAUUGAGAAAAAUGAGCUAAAUCCAUGUAUAAAACAAUCUGCCCGUGCUUCGUCGAGUUGUACCUUGCACUUGUACUAUACAAGUUGUACAUCACAUUGCUCCAGCAGUCAUUUCCCGUCGAUCCUAACUUCUACUACAGAUGUCCAUAUUGCGAUUUUGUUUAGCUUUCUAGAAACUAGACACGAAGGUCUACAACUUUUGUGUUUUUCAAAUUUACAGAUUUCUUAUAGAUUACAAGAUAUGAGCUUCCAAAGUAGCCUCCCCGAAAGCAAAUUCUGGAAAAUGAGCUCCACCAGUCAUUUUCAAUCGACCAUAACAUUCACUAAAAAUGUCCAAAAUACGAUUCUGUUUAGUUUUCUGGAAACUAACAUGAAGGUCUACAACGUUUGUUUUUGAAUUAUCUCAAAAUUCCUUGUAGAUAAAAAAAUAUAGGUCUCUGAAUUAAGCAACUUUUGCUGUCCAAGACAGCUUAACAGCAGAAAUUUCUGCAAUUUUUUUCUUUUCUUUUUGGUCCGAUUUUCAUUCCGUUAACCUUCCGAAAUCCACCCGAGGCCCUCGAGACCUUAACCAAUUAUAUCAACAUGUCCUAUAAUAUUAUUCAAGCUUGUUCCAACCUUAAAAACACCCAAAAUAACAUCAAAAUAUCAAAUCAUCAUUAGAUUCAAGCCUAUGAAUCUCAAGAACUUUCAAAUUCCACAUCUGAUGCUGAAACACGUUAAAACUAGUCAGAAUGACCUCGGAAUUUGCAUACAAGUCCAAAAUUACAUAACAAAGCUACAGAAACUCUCGGAAUUUCAUUCCGACCCUCGGAUCAAAAUCUCACCUAUCAACCGGAAUUCGCCAAUAUACUAACUUUACCAAUUCAAGCUUAGUUCUACACCGAUCAUCACAAAAAUAUUCCGGACACACUCCUAAGUCCAAAAUCACCUAAUGAAGCUAUCCGAACCAUAAAAUUUGCAUUUUGAGCUCUCUAACACAUAAGUCAAUAUCCAGUUGACUUUUCCAACUUAAGCUUCCUUAAAAGAGACUAAGUGUCUCAAACCUUACCAAAAUCAUUCGGGAAUGACUUCAAAUUUUGUACACAAGUCACAUUCGACAUUACAGACUUUUCUCAACUUUCGGAAUCGCAUUCUGACCCCGAUAUCAAAAUUGAUAUCAAAAUUUCAACUUCCGGUCGAAUUUUCUCAAAAACUUUCAAAUUUCUAUAUUUAGCCAAAUGACCUACAAACCUUCAAAUUCUCUUCCGGUCGCGCUCCCAAAUCCAGAAUCACCAUACGGAGCUACUCCCAGUCUCAGAAUCCCAAACGAACGUUAAUAACACUGAAAUGCAUUUUAAGCCAAAUUGAUGCAAUUUCUUCUAAAAUGUUAUCUUUCAUAACAGGCGCCAAAAUACCCCCGAGUUAUCCAAAACUCGAUCCGGGUAUACGCCCAAGUCCAAAAUCAUCAAACGAAUCUGCUGGAACCUUCAAAUCCAAUUCCGAGGUCAUUUACUCAAAAUUUCAAUCCUAGUUCAUUUCUUCAAUUUUAAACUUUUGAAAUGAGAAUUUUCAUUUAAAUUUGACUCCAAACUUCCUGAAUUUUAAUUCUGACCAUACACACAAGUCAAUAUACCUGAGAUGAAUCAAAUCAUGGUCGCAAACUGCUGAAUAACGCGUCGUAGCUCAAAACGACCGGUCGGUCGUUGCAAUAUAUCUCAAUGCCGGAAGAGGGUUGGGAAUAUCAAUCCCGCCAAGGCUAAAGUAAAUUUAACUGAAGCCAAAACGGAUGACAUAAUCGGUGCAGUUGUUUCCCAAGUGUACCUUGUGGCCAAUGAAAGACUGGGUAUUAGAUCCUGGUGUCAUUAGGCACAUAUGUGCUAACAAAAAAGACUUUGUGUCUUAUACCCAAGUUGAGGAAGGAAAAAAAGUUGUAUAUCUUGGUGACUCAGGACUACUCCAGUUCUUGGAAAAGGCAAAGUUCUUCUCAAACUCACAUCUGGCAAAACUUUGGCAUUGAAUGAUAUGUUGCAUGUUCCUAGUUUCCGAGCCAACUUGGUCUCUGUGGGAUUAUUAGAAAAAGCGGGGGUGAAGGUUGCUUUUGAAUCUGAUAAGGUCGUGUUGACCAAGAAUAAUAAUUUUGUUGGCAAGGGUUAUUAUAGCCAUGGCUUGUACUCAAUGUUAUCAAUGAAAAUGCAUUUUGAAGACUUUAUUUUAAAUAUUAAUUUUUUGAAUAAUGAUAAGUGUGAAGUUUGUGCAGAAGCUAAACAAAUUAAGAUUUAUUAAGAUUAUGUACUCAAUGUUAUUAAUAAAAAUGCUAGUACUUCUGCUUCCUGAGUUAUAUUCGAUAGAUGUGAUGAUUUUAUUUUGUUGAAUGAUCAAAUAUUAAAAAUAAAUUAUUUUUCUACAUCUUUGAAUCUAAUCAAAUAUGAUCUUAGUUGACUGUUUCUUAACAUUAAUUUAGGAAUAAUUUCUUAUAUGUUUUGUCUUUAUGUUGUUUAACGGAAAAGCAACGUUAAAAAUUUGGAUGAGCCUUUAUGGCUUAGAUUUAUUAUCAAAUGGGUACUUUCUAUUUUUGGACUAUAUAAGUCCUUUGUGUAGUAACUUUGAAAGUGUGAAAAAGUAAAUAAUUUACUAUGAUAGCAUUCUUGUUAAAUAGAAUUUGCAAGAUUAAGAUAAAUUAAUUUUCUAACAGCUAUGAUUAACUAUUUCAUAAGAAGCAUGAAAGGUAAACUCUGCAAUUUUUUUUGCAAGAUUAAUAUGCAUGAAAUACAAUAUGAGUCAUGUUCAUAAAGGGAUAUGUUAUUUCUUUUGGUUCAUUGAUAAAAUACUGAUGAUAUCAUGACAUAUAUUAACAAGACAUGAUUAGAAAUAAUCAUGAGAUAAUAUUUUUAUGUUCUUCUGAAUCUAAUGGUAUAGAUAGAAAGAAGAAUAUGACUUUUUAAUUAAUUAAUGAGUUUCAUAGUCUAUGUAAUAGUCAUUGGGUGAAACUAUAUUAUUAGCUUAUUAUUAAUAAAGCAUAAAUCUUUAUGAGUUGUGAUAAUGUUAAUUCCUUAACCUAAAAUUUUUAAAAAUGUGGGGGAUCGUGAUAUCCAGAGUUAUAUAACAUGAUCAUUAGAAAGAAAAAGGUGAUAAAUAUUGUUUAUUAAUGUUAUAAUAAAGCCUUAAAAAAUUAAAAAAUUUUGUGAGAAAAAAAAAAAGAAAUUGUAUUAGGAUAUCAAAAAUAUGUUAUAUUUCUUGCUCUGGAAAAUUAUCUUGCUUUGGGUCUCUUAGUAAUUUGGGUGAAGAAAUUAUUGAAUUGUGGCAUGUUUUAUAUUGAGUUGAGAUAUUUCUGUAGAAGUUAAAGUUGCUUCUAUAAUUUUAUUUUGGUGCUUUACUAUGGAAGAUACAUAAAGAAAAUAAAUUUUCACAUGUUGAAAGAUGUUUCAAAAGGUAUGGGUACAGAAGUCAAGUUUUAUUUCAGUUGAGAUGAUCUUAUGCCUUAUUUGAGAAAUACUCUACGUUAGUAUUUUGUAUGUGAAUUUUCCACUGUAUUAGAGGGAUACAGUGAUGAUAUCGAAUCUCUAAUUCAGAUGAGAAAAGCUCAACAGUGAUUAUGUGAUCACCUUUUGGUGGGUAUUGUGGUAUUAAAAUUGCCUUGAAGUGAGGUUGAUUAAGCAACCUCUUGGUGAGUGAAACCGACAAUAAUUUUUUCGAUGAAUUAUGAUUGACAAGGCGCAAUAACCAUUUUAAUAAAAUAAAUCUCUCAAUGGAAAAAGUAGAUACACGUCGAUUAAUUGUGAUUUUCGAGGCACAUAACCAUUGUAAUAAAAUAAAUCUCUCAAUGAAAAAAGUAGAUACACACUCUAGAGACAUGAUGUGAUAAAGCAAUUGCUUAGAGAGAAUUUUUUUAUACAUAUUAUGUGUAGUCAAAAGAGAAUUUGGACGAUCCUUUGACUUAUAAGUGAAACAUCGAGGGUUGAGACUUUUGCCAUUGAGAUAUAUCAACAAUGAUGGUAACCUAACCUAUGUGAUUGGAGAUCCCAUGAAGUAGGUUCAUAUGGAUAAUAACAAGUCAUUAGUUGAUCAAAUGUGCACUAUUAAAUUAUGUCUCUUCCUAUUGUGUGUGUGUGUGUAUAGUGCAAGAAUGCAAGGAAUGUGAAGCUGAGUUAUCAUACUCUUUAAUCUACUAUUCCAUAGCCUUUUAUAGGUGGUGUAUUGUGCUGUAAAAUACACUUGAUGGAUAUAGCUAUAUGAUUGUGGAGUGGGGUCGCUCCUAUGAAAUCUGUGGCGAAAUUUCUAAAGUACUCAUGAAAAUCAGGCGCGCGCAUGGCCUAUUAGCACAAAAUUGCGAUAACCAACAAAGUGUGUGCGAGUAUAAUGUGAUAGAUAAGACACUAAACUUACAAAAGAAUUCUUGGUUCAUAAAAGUUCUAGACUUCACCAAUUGUUCUGUAAGUUUAAUCUUAUUUUAUCUAGAGUCUGAUUCAUAGUCCAAGACACCAAAUUCUACGCAAUAUGCUCAUUUAUAAAUCCCAGCAAAAUACUUUAUUAAUUAUUAUUUUAAAUAUUUUUUUGAGCUAUGUGGGGGAUUGUUAAAAAAUAAUAUUUUAAUAUCUCAAAAAAAAUAUAUGUUAAUAUUUUUAAUAUCUUAAUGUUUAUUAACUUUGAAUGAGUAUUGAAACGAGUUAUAAUUUGUGUAAUCUUAAAAUUAACCAAAGGUCUUGUCCGUUUGCUACCAUUAAUUGUGAUAAUAAUUUUCUUUUAAAAAGAUGAUUAUAACACUUUCUUUGUGUUAAUUGAAUUCUUGAUUCUUAAUGAUCCAUUCUGGUGACAAAUGUCGUUUUGGCAUUAUAUUGAAUUCUUGAAAUUAAUGGUUUUACCGUUUCUUUCUUAGCCUAAAUGACAUUUUCUUUAACGUUUUGGAAAAAGCCUUACUGGCUUUAUGAAUUUGAAUGUUUUCUCCAGAUAGUUUAUCUACUUUAGACUAUAUAAAUAUACUAGAGCUUGUUGAAUUCUGGGAAAUAUGCCAAUAUUCUAUCUACCUUAGACUAUAUAAAUAUAUACCUCUUUAUUUCAUCUUGAAGUUGUGAAAAAGAACGGAAAAUUUUUCUAUUAUCUUGUUGGGUUAUUUUGUUAAACUUUGUUGUUUUUGUUCCUAAUUAUACUAGAAGAGUUUGUUAAAUCCUUGUGUCACGACCCCAAUUUCAUACUCGGUUGUAAUGGCGCCUCUCGUGAAGACAACGCCAGCCAACAACCCCAAAUACUCUUUAGGCAGCUAUUAACCACAAAUGAACAUGAAUAUUACUUAAUAGCAUUUAACUAUGAAAUUUCAUUCCAAUACAACCCGACCGGGGUGUCACAGCCAACAACCCCAAAUCCUCUUUAAGCAACAAUUAAACAUAAAUGAAUAGAAAUACUACUUAAUGGCAUUUAACUAUGAAAUUUCAUUCCAAUACAACGCGACCGGGGUGUCACAAGACACGAGCAUCUAGGAGUGCCUUUAUUAAAAUUUAAAAGUCUGUAAUACAUAGAGUAAAAUCUGGGAAUCAAGAAGAAGAAGAAUCUCGGUGCCGCGAACGCCGUCGGUCACCUAACUUAGCUACGAUAGCAAAACCUUCAAUCCGUUACUAACCCGCUACCAGGUGAUCAGUACCUGCAACUGCACGCGAGGUGCGGGGAGUAAAGUGAGUACUUCCAACUUAUUGGUAAUAAGAGAGAAUAAUAUCUGAGCGAUAAGAAAACACGUACGAGCACACCAAACUGCUAUAAAAGACAGAACAACCCUUUUUGAGGAAAACCGAAAUACUGUGAAAAAUUCUUUAGAAAAUAUCAAGAUCAGUUCAAAAUCUUUUUGAAAAUAUGCUUUUUCAACAGUUGCAAGGUAAUUUCAACAAGUAGGAAGUAAUCAGAAACCUGCCCCUCGGGCUCAAUAUCAACCUCUCAGUACAGUAUCAGCCCCACGGGCUCACUCUCAACUCACAAUAUACAACAUCAGCCUCUCGGGUUCACCACUCCUUAUCAUAUAACACCAGGGUAUCUGGUCAUCAAGGCAAGUAACAAUAUCUAUGCCAAUGAUAUAUAAGUGUUAAAUGUCAUGCCACUUAGUACAAGCAUGAGUAAAUGCAUGAAUGGAAUACAAUGCAAUGCAUAUGACCGCUAUAGUGCGUAGCCCGGUCCAUUUGGGUACCCGCGCUUACUGUUGGGGUUCAAACUUCGAAGGGGCUCCUACAACCCAAGCGCAAUAUCAAUAUCACAUUGUUGCGGCGUACAGCCCGAUCCAUGCAAUAUGCUACUGCGACGUGCAGUCAGAUCCGUGCAUGUAUAUGCAUAUGUACACAUAACACUCGAGGCCUGAAGCCUCCUUACAUUAUCUUCAUGCCCUCACGUAUGGCCCUCAGCCUCAAUCAGUCCAAAAUAAGUCAAAAAGCCCCUCGGGCAUCAGUAAAACAAUAAUACUCAGUUCAAAUGAUAAUUCAAAUAUCAGUUAAAUCUCCAAGUUUGAGUAAAAAUAUAGUUGAGUUCAUGAAAUAGUGUAAAUCGCAGGGACUGCGUUAAAAUAAUAUUUCAAAUAGUGAGGAAAACAGUGAUGAUAGCUCAAAAGGAGUUCAAACAAACGGCAAUAAGCCCCAAAGUAUGGCAAUGAGCCCAAGUCAUAAUGAUAACAACAAAUCAUUUGUAAAUACGCGGUGAAAACUAACAACCGGGACAGACCAAGUCACGAUCCCCAACAGUGCUCUACCCCACGCUCAGGUCCAGCGUGCAAGUCACCACAAUACAGUACUAAGAUGUGCAAAUCCGUGGUUUCAAACCCUCAGGAUAUCAUUCCCAAGUAUUACUCACCUCGAACCGGCGAAAUCUCAAGCUCGCAACGCCUUUGCCUUGACAAUCAAACUCCACGGAUGCAAAAUCUGAUCAAAAACAAUAAGAAUACGUCACAAUAGGCUCGCCUUUGCCCCUCAAAUCGGCCUUCACGCGCGUCGAAUCUUGCCAACAACAGAGCGAAUACAUCACAAUAUACAAAUGGGACAAUACCCAAUCGAGAAAAAUUGGAAUAUGACAAGAAUCUCGAAACUAGCAAAACCCGAGCCCUGGGCCCGCUUCUCGAAAAAUUAUGAAACUUACAUUUUCGAAAUAUUCGUCUCGCCACGAGUUCAUACAUACCAAGAACUCCCAAAUCCGAGCUCAAAUGACCUACAAAUUCCAAUUUGAAAUAUCAAAAUUCAAGCCCUAACUUUAGCCCCUUUUUAAUGAAUCAACCAAGUUUCUAUGUUAAUUCUUCCAUAAACUUGAAUAAUUAGGCCAAGGAACUUACCUCCCUUUGUAAUCCUCGUCUCGCCACGAGUUCAUACAUAUCAAGAACUCCCAAAUCCGAGCUCAAAUGACCUAUCAAAUCCCAAUUUGGAAAUGUCAAAAACUCAAGCCCUAGCUUCUUCAAUUUCAUACCCAAUUUCAGAGAAUUAAUGGAUGACUCUUCGAUUAGAUGACAUUUUGAAUGCAUAAGACUUACCUACAAUCGAUCCUCUUCGAAUUCCUCUUCAAUUGUUCUCAAGAAGCUCCGAAAAUGCUCAACAAUGAAAGAAAAUGCAUAACCCUCGCGGAUGAAAAAUGAUAAUUUCACCUUUCUGCCUAGCUCGAUUUCCGCUUUUGCGGUCAUACCUCCGCUUAUGCGGCUCUCGCUUCUGCGUCCUUUCAACCGCUGAUGCGGUCCAACCUUUUCUCCCAGGGAACACUUUUGCGGUGUCACCGCCUAUGCAGUUAUCCUUCCGCAUCCCCGAUCCAGGCGAACUCCCCCAUUGGUCGCUGCUGCGACCCCACGCCCGCUUGUUCUGACUCGCUUAGGCGAAAAGAGUUCCGAUUCUGCGAAACUACCCAGCUCCACAUCUGACCGCUUAUGCGACCAACAUCACGCUUCCGCGGAGCCGCUUCUGCGGUCCAUUUUCCGCAUAAGCGCUCAUACAAGACACCAGCAAGAUCUGCCACUUCUCAACUUAAGAUUUCAUCCCGAAAGCCACAUGAAAUUACCUCGAGGCCCCCGGGACCUCAACCAAAUGUACCAACAUAUCCCAAAACCCAUUAAGAACUUGUUCCAAUCCUCAAAACACACACAACAACACAAAAAUCAUCAAAUUACCACGGAUUCAAGCCUAUUUUUCUUCAAAGCUUCUGAUUUGCACAUUUGAUCAAAAACCCAACAAAACGACGUCCGAAUGACCUGGAAAUUUACAAACAUAUCAAAAAUCACCAAACGAAGCUACUGUAACUCUCAGAAUUCCAUUUCGUCCCUCGGAUCAAAAUCUCACCAAUCAACCGGGAUCCGCCAAAAUUCACACUUCGCCAAUUCAAGCCUAAUUCUACACCGGACCUCCAAAUUCAAUUACGAGUCCUCUCCUAAGUCAAAAAUAAUCUCUGGAAGCUAACCGAAUCAUCGGAAAUCACAUCCGAGCCUUCUAACUCACAAGUCAACUUUCGGUUGACUUUUCCAAAACAAGCUUAAGUCAUAAAUCAUCCCCCAAAACCAGUCGAAUCAUCGGAAAUCCAUUCCGAGCCAUCUAACUCACAAGAGAACUUCUAGUUGACUUUUUCAACUUAAGCUUUCCUUAAAGAGACUAUUUGUCUCAUUUCUAUCCAAAUUCGAUCCGAAACACUUCAAACUCACCAAAUACAUAUAUUAACACAUGAAGAAGCAAUCAAAUGGGAUAAACGGGACGGAGAUACCGGAGACGACGGGUCAGGUCGUCACAUCCUCCCUAACUUAAACAAACGCUCAUCCUCGAGCGUACCCAGGGUUAUACUAAAAGCAACUCAAUAGCUGAAUGACCUUACCAGGCAUAUACUCGGGGUGAUCCCACGUCAUCCUAUCUCACAAAGGUCCGAUAAUACAACAUAGCCGAAAUUUCACCGUCCAUUUAAACCAUAAAUCGCAUUGCACUUUCCGAUGUCAUGCACCAGAUAAGAAUCCCACAUCUUAUACUCAAAAUAAACGUGAACCAACUGUAAUAAUCCAUACCUGCAACCUCGGCUGCAAUCAUAUGAUAUCCCACAACAACCAAUAUCGAUAGAAAAUCUCUUGUUAAAUAGAGUCUCAUUUUUAUACCUUCAUAUACUGCCAACGACAAUAGAAACAAGCGAUAAAUUGAACCCAUCUCUCAGAUCACCCAUUCAUGAGUCCAUUUCCUUUCUGAGUGAUACUACAACAGAUUUCGGAGCCAAACCUCGAUAUUACCUUUCUAACAAGCUGAAAUCAAAUGUGCUCGUACUCAUUAAUGAAUCCAACGAUCAUCUCAACAACAACACACCACUCUGGUGAUAUGACACCUCAACACCGGCCUAAGCUGCAACAUGCUCAACACAGGCACCAAUAAAAAACGAUCUGAACACACUCAAAUCAUGACAACUGACUCAAACGAAAGAGAUAUAAUGCAAAUUCCUCCAUACGAUCACAAUACCGAACUGAGAUCCCAUCUCACAUCAUAGAAAUAGAAUACCUGAAUCCUCCUCGAAAGGUCAUAACUUCAUGUGGCCUUGCCACAACGCUCGAUUCUAUCCAAAAAAUAUUACCCAUGAAGCACCUCAAGUCACCAUGCUCAACACGAUCAUCCACACACCGAUUGAGGUCUGAAACCACGCAAUCGUGGCCUUGCCACAAUACGUGAUUCUAUCCAAACACUAUUACUCAUGAAGCACUACAAGUCACCACGCUCAACACAGACAGUCGCACACAGAUUAAGGUCUGAAACCAAGCGAUCCAUCACACCCACGGUGAAGCAAGUAUUAUACACUGUUCAAUCCUGAAAGGACACGACCGAUGAGCUAUUCGCCGAACAACACCCAAUACGGAUUUUUCCUCGGAAACUAGGAAGUAAUGCAUACAAGGUAACAUAUAGAAAACUAUUCUCCACAUCACACCGUUGCAGCGUGCAAUCUGCUCCAGAUAACAAACCCGUGGCAGCGUGCCACCUGAUCCAGGUACCAUACCCGUGGAAGCGUGCCACCCGAUCCAGGUACCAUACCCGUGGCAGCGUGCCACCCGAUCCACACAUAUAUCUCACAAAAAGAGUUGCACAUUGAGUCAAAUUUGCUCAUUACAUUAAACACAUAUAGCCUCAUGCCCGACAGCAAGAAACGCAUCCGAAAAGUCCUUCAAUACUGGAACUGAAUCAAUGGUAGAAACUUCUGCACUUACAUCCGCCAUGAAGGCCCAAUUAAACAAGCAAUACUUGCCAGCCGUCCGCUGGUCUCUGGAGUACAAGCUACCCUGCUAGAACAUAAUCCGAAGUACCUUUCCACGCAGCCUGUAGCAUUUUCUAACAUAGCCCAUAACACAUUAUUCUAGACAAUCAAUCCCUGGAACAACCAGUCUACCAUAAAAUACCAUGACCCAGAUUUAACAUAACAUGCAAAUAAAGAUCCACGCAGACCUCCAAUUUCCAACAACUGCUAGACGAUGUCGAUACACACGACCCCCAACCACCGCAUGGUCGGAUCACGGGAAUUUCUAGUUCCCAACACAUAUAGCGCAUGAAUCACUAUGCCUGAUCCCACACUCCGCCGUAAAAACACGUAGCACACAUCAAGUAUCCAUUCAUACUAGAAAGAUAUUCAAAAUUUCCACAUGAAUCACUAUGCAUGAUCCCACACUCCGCCGUACGAAUACAUAAAACACAUCAAGUAUCCAUUCAUACCACAAAAGAUAUUCAAGAUUUCCUGCGCCAUCAACAAACUCAAAUAUCCGCAGUCGAUCCAACAAGAAAAUAUCGCAAUACUACUGAAGCGUCAUCAAUUUACAUCACCUUAAUCAUCUGAAAAUUGAUUCUUUACUCACAUGUAGCUGACCGUGCUACUCAAGAAUUUAAUGAUUUCCCAUUAUGAACUGAACCAAAACCUUGAACACGCAAAUCUCAAUUCUCCAUAUCAUAACACAUNNNNNNNNNNNNNNNNNNNNNNNNNNNNNNNNNNNNNNNNNNNNNNNNNNNNNNNNNNNNNNNNNNNNNNNNNNNNNNNNNNNNNNNNNNNNNNNNNNNNNNNNNNNNNNNNNNNNNNNNNNNNNNNNNNNNNNUCAACGCACUCAACUAGUCAAGAACUUUCAUGAUCCCAUAUAGGAGAAAAAUUAUUACACACUCCAUGCUUCGCAUAACCAUAGGAAAUAUACUCAUCUUUAAGUCACGGUAAAACACAUCAAGGACUUUUUCUCCCAAUUCCCUUACACAAGCUAAAUUGCCAGGACUGAGUCUUUCUAUCAAGAUCAAGUUAAGCAAACUGCCAACACUUAAAAGCUUUGCUACACAAUACCUGUAAGGCUCAUUACCUCAAACACAUACAAUAAUUAAUCAUAUCCUUACCAUACCAAUUUGGUUAAUUAUCAAGAUAUUCCAUUUUAUCCUAUUUCCUUCCCGGCUCGUCUUUAAUUUGAUAUUCUCUCUUGUUGUAGCACCACGAUACCUCGACCCAGGUUACCAUACAAGACUCGCACAUAAAAUAACAUUGUCCAAGACCAUAUGCCACGCAAUACCCUCUUGUAGCACCACAAUACCUCGACCCAAGUUACCACACGAGACUCGCACAUAAAAACACACUGUCCAAGACCCAUAGGCCACGAAAUACCCUCUCAAACGUUUCCCAGAAAUGCCACAUUCCAGAAUGCUUUACCUUGAAGAAUUUCCUGCAAUACUGAAUUCGUUUACCAUUACCUUCCAAAUACGGAUACAUAGAAUGCCAUUAUUAACAUAAAAUACCGCAAGUCUUGAUAUUUUCUAAUGAAAACUCAAUCUCUAGCCACAUACGUAGAAUUAAGACACCUGAUUGUUACAUGCAAAAUCUUGAACAUAGUAAAACCAUUCUCGAGCGUCAUUAACUCUUAUUCAGCUGUAAUUCACCUUCCCUAAAUGAACGGAACCACUCGUGCCUUAUUAGUACUCAGACAUACAGAUACAACAACCAUCUUCCUUCACUGCGAUUCUGAAUUCGUUUACCAUUACCUUCCAAAUGCGGAUACGUAGAAUCCCAUUAUUAACACAAAGUACCACAAGUAUUGAUCUUUUCUAAUGAAAACACAGUCUCUAGCCACAUACACAAACUUAAGACACUCGAUUGUUACAUGCAAAAUCUUGAACAUAGUAAAACCAUUCUCGAGAGUCAUUUACUCUUAUUCAGCUGUAAUUCGCCUGCCCUAAAUGAAGGGAACCACUCGUGCCUUAUUAGUACUCAGACACAACAAAACAUAAUUUCAUACAGAUACAACAACCAUCUUCCUUCUUUAUGCACCGAGCAUUCUUUAUAAACAGCAGCUCAAAACAUCCUAGUAUUCCCUCACAUUUCGAAAGAACCAUAUAACCUUUGUAGAAAUUUUUCCUUCACACGUGCCAUUCUCGGCUUAAUGUCUAUAACCAUAACUGAUCUGCCAUCAUACCUCAAACGGAACCAACAUACCACAUAACCAUGCAAUCAGCUGACCAACAGAACCUCCCCGACUUGGCUCGAAGCCAUAUAUCAAGGCACUCUUAACAUUUCAUAGCACUUUUACCUACAACGAUGCCACAAUGUUAUAAUGAGAUUAAACUCAAGUCAUUUACAAGUUUGUGAAUACCCAGAUAAUCUAGCACUGAUAUUCUUUGCAAAUCUCGCAUUCAUUUCCACAUCAACUGAGUCCAUUUUCUUAAACGUCCCCAAAUUCUCAAAUUUCAACACAUACCCUUUAAUUACACAUGAGAUAUUUUACAUACACAUAAGGAUCAUACCGCUCAAAACCCUCCGCAGGAGAUAACCCACCUGCUUCACCUCAUUUCAAUAUCUCCAUAUACCUUCCACCAUCAUAUACGUAAUACACAACCAUAUAGUUUUCCUGAGUCUGAACUCAUACCGCCACAUGUAUUGCACUUCACUUUCCAGCUAGGGGAUAUGAAAAUAUUCUUCACGCGCCCAUGCCUCGGGCUACAUCACAGACCAAAAUAGGAAACAAACACUUAUAGCUCAUCUAUUAUCCAUCAGACUCUUUCGUCACCACCAAGAUCACAUAGAUACCCCUCGCACUACUAACAAUACUCAUCACAUGGAUAUCUAGCCGCCAUUCUGGCUAAUAAGAACAAUACUGAACAUAUAAGUGCAAAAUACUUGCUCACACAAUCGGCACCUCGGUGCUAGAGCCAUAGGCAAAUAUCCAGCCUCAGGUCCUCCAGACUGGCCCAACAUGAACUCACAGAGAUUACCUCUCACCCCUUGAUCGGGGAAUCAUAAGCCAUCAAGGCACAUAUCUACUAAGCGCUCACGUGCGCAUACAGACGUGUGGAAUGAAUUUUCAAGAGUUAUCUCAAACUGAAUCAAGUACGCACGAUAAGAAUUCCAAGAAUGGGAAGUUUUCCCGAAGGUUCUGCAGCCUCUCGAGGAUAAAUACAGACGUCUCCGUACCGAUUCGCAAGACUGUACUAACCCUGCUCGUGACUCGUGAUACCUAGUAACCCAAGCUCUUAUACCAACUUGUCACGACCCCAAUUCCAUACCCAGUCAUGAUGGCCUCUCUCGUGAAGACAAGGCCAUCCAACAACCCCAAAUACUCUUUAGGCAGCAAUUAAACACAAAUGAAUAGGAAUAUUACUUAAUAGCAUUUAACUAUGAAAUUUCAUUCCAAUACAACCCGACAGGUUGGUCAGUUAUAUAACAGCUCGAAUCUGAAUUAAUAAUAUUAAUCAAUAUGAAUAAAACCCAAUAUAGCCUGACCGGGGUGUCACAAGUCACGAGCAUCUAGGAUUGCCUUUAUUAAAAUUAAAAAGUCUACAAUACAUAGAGUAAAAUCUGGGAAUCAAGAAGAAGAAGAAUCUCGAUGCCGCGAACGCCGUCGGUCACCUAACUUAGCUACGAUAGCAAAACCUUCAAUCCGCUAAUAACCCGCUACCGGGUGAUCAGUACAUGCAACUGCACGCGAGGUGCAGGGAGUAAAGUGAGUACUUCCAACUUAUUGGUAAUAAGAGAGAAUAAUGUCUGGGCGAUAAGAAAACACGUACGAGCACACAAAACAGCUAUAAAAGACAGAACAAUCCUUUUUGAGGAAAACCGAAAUACUGUGAAAAAUCCUUUAGAAAAUCUCAAGAUCAGUUCAAAAUCUCUUUGAAAAUAUGAUUUUUCAACAGUUCCAAAGGUAAUUUUAACAAGUAGGAAGUAAUCAGAAACCUGCCCCUCGGGCUCAGUAUUAACCUCUCAGUACAGUAUCAGCCCCGGGGGCUCACUCCCAACUCACAAUAUCCAACAUCAGCCUCUCGGGCUCAGCACUCCAUAACAUAUAACACUAGGGUAUCUAGUCAACAAGGCAAGUAACAGUACGUAUGGCAGUAUUCACCACUCCUUAACAUAUAACACCAGGGUAUCUGGUCAUCAAGGCAAGUAACGGUAUAUAUGCCAAUAAUAUAUGAGUGUUAAAUGUCAUGCCACUUAGUACAAGCACGAGUAAAUGCAUAAAUGGAAUACAAUGCAAUGCAUAUGACCGCUACAGCGCGUAGCCCGAGGGUACUCGCGCUCACUGUGGGGGUUCAGACUCCAGAGGGGCUCCUACAGGCCAAGCGCAAUAUCAAUAUCACAUCGCUGCGACGUGCAUCCCGAUCCAUGCAAUAUGCUACUGCGGCGUGCAGUCCGAUCCAUGCAUGUAUAUGCACACGUACACAUAACACUCGAGGCCUGAAGCCUCCUUACAUCAUCUUCAUGCCCUCACGUGUGGCCCUCAACCUCAAUCAGUCCAAAAAUAGUCAAAAAGCCCCUCGGGCUUUAGUAAAACAAUAAUACUCAGCUCAAAUGAUAGUUCAAAUAUCAGUUAAAACUCCACGUUUGAGUAAAAAUAUAGUUGAGCUCAUGAAACAGUGUAAAUCACAUGGACUAAGUUCAAAUAAUAUUUCAAAUAGGGAGAAAACAGUGAUGAUAGCUCACAAGAGUUCAAACAAUCGGCAAUAAGCUCCAAGUAUGGCAAUGAGCCCAAGUCAUAAUGAUAACAACCAAUCAAUUACAAAUACGCGGUGAAAGCCAACAACCGGGACAGACCAAGUCACAUUCCCCAACGGUGCUCUACCCCACGCUCAGGUCCAGCGUGCAAGUCACCACAAUACAAUACUAAGAUGUGCAAAUCCGGGGUUUCAAACCCUCAGGACAUCAUUCCCAAGUAUUACUCACCUCGAACAGGCGAAAUCUCAAGCUCACGACGCCUUUGCCCAUAAAAUCGGCCACCACGCGCGUCGAAUCUAGCAAAAAACAGAGCGAAUACAUCACAAUAUCCAAAUGGGACAAUACCUAAUCGAAAACAAUUGGAAUAUGACAAGAAUCUCGAAACUAGCAAAACCGGAGCCCUGGGCCCGCUUCUCGAAAAUUCUGAAACUUACAUUUCCGGAAUUCUUGUCUCGCCACGAGUUCAUACAUACCAAGAACUCCCAAAUCCGAGCUGAAAUGACCUAUCAAAUCCCAAUUCAGAAAUGUCAAAAACUCAAGUCCUAGCUUCUUCAAUUUCAUACGCAAAUUCAGAGAAUUAAUGGAUGAUUCCUCGAUUAAAUGACGUUUUGAAUCCAUAAGAUUUACCUCCAAUCGAUCCUCUUCGAAUUCCUCUUCAAUUGUCCUCAAGAAGCUCCGAAAAUGCUCAACAAUGGAAGAAAAUGCAUAACCCUCGCGGAUGAAAAAUGAUAAUUUAACCCUUCUGCCCAGCUCGAUUUCCGCUUCUGCAGUCAUACCUCCGCUUGUGCGGCUCUCGCUUCUGCGUCCUUUCGACCGCUGAUGCAGCCCUACCUUUUCUCCCAGGGGCAGCUCGAUUUCUGCUUCUGCGGUCAUACCUCCGCUUAUGCAGCUCUCGCUUUUACGUCCUUUCGACUGCUGAUGCAGUCCAACCUUUUCUCCCAGCGACCGCUUUUGCGGUCAACUACCGCUUACACGGUCACCGCCUAUGCAGUUAUCCUUCCGCACCCGCGAUCCAGGCCAGUCCCCCAUUGGCCACUUCUGCGAUCCCACGUCCGCAUAUGCGGACUCGCUUAAGCAAAAAAGGUUCCACUUCUGCGGAACUACCCAGCUCCACAUCUGACCACUUAUGCGACCAACAUCACGCUUCCGCGGAGCCGCUUCUGCGGUCCAUUUUCCGCAGAAGCGCUAGACACCAGCAAGAUCUGCCACUUCUCAACUUAAGAUUUCAUCCCGAAAGCCACAUGAAAUUACCCCGAGGCCCCCUGGACCUCAAUCAAAUGUACCAACAUAUCCAAAACCAUAUAAGAACUUGUUCCAAUCCUCAAAAGACACACAACAACACUAAAAUCAUCAAAUUACCACGGAUUCAAGCCUAUUUUUCUUCAAAGCUUUCGAUUUGAACAUUUGAUCAAAAACCCAACCAAACGACGUCCGAAUGACCUGAAACUUUACAAACAUAUCAAAAAUCACCUAGCGAAACUAUUGCAACUCUCGAAAUUCCAUUAGGACUCUCGGAUCAAAAUCUCACAUAUCAACCGGGACUCGCCAAUAUUCAAAUUUCGCCAAUUCAAACAUAAUUCUACACCGUACCUCCAAAUUCAAUUCAGAUCGCUCUCCUAAGUCACAAAUCAUCAGGCUAACCGAAUCAUCGGAAAUCAAUCCGAGCCUUUUAACUCACAAGUCAACUUCCAGAUAACUUUUCCAAAACAAGCUUCCUUACUGAUAUUGAAACAUGAAACAACACAAUAAGGGGGAAACAUAGCAGUAACACAUAAGAUGACGGGUCAGGUCGUCACACCUUGGAGAUACGCCUAAUAUUAUUUAUCUCGGUUUGGGCAAAAUAUUCUUAAGGAAAAUGUCUUUGACACGCCUCAAGCUAAACUUUUAUUCUCCGUAAUCAUCAAUUGUUUCCGACAAUUAGUAGCUAGAUUGCAACUGCCUUUUUGAGUAUUUUUGAGGAAUCUGUCAUUAUUGUUUAGACUUCCAUGUGCCGCCAGUCUUAGGAUGAAGAUCCAUCUGGGCAGAACAAGAUUACUAGUUGAUAAAGUAUGUAUUUAAUAAUCAAUAUGAAAUCUAAAUAAUGAAAUGAUCUCGUUUAAUUUUUUAUUUCUCAAAAUGAUAAAAUAUCGUCUCAAAAUCGAGGAUGUAGGAGUUUACUAGAUUGUGACUUGUGUAUGGAAGAUUAAAGAUUGAAGCAUUUCAACAAACUUGAUAAGAAAGUGAUAGUACAUGCUAAGACCAAACAUUAUUUAAAAGUAGAAGAAAAGAAAAUAGUAUAAUAGAUCCAGUAAAUAUUAGAUUUCAUGAAAGGAUCAAAAAUAUUUCUAGAUAUAAUUUAAAAGGAAAAUCCAAUAUAAAGUUUUUAAUAUAUAAUAUAUAAUAUAUCUAUAUAUGUUAGUUUAGGUCGAAAUUUUCUUGCUCAAUACUGAACCAAACUAAUAUACUCAAUUUUUCUAAUCGAUUUGGAUCAACUUUUCAGUUAUAUUGCACACCCUUAGUCAUAAGCAGGGAUGUAUGUAACGAUCCGCCUGGUCGUUUUAUCUUUUAGAAUUUUGUUCUCUUAAAUAAAAUAUUUCGUGCUUGCUUUACCUAAUUUAUAAUUUGCGGGGACGAUUGGUUCGGGAUUUGAAAGUUUUGAGGGAAAGAUGCCUAUUUGAUUCCUUAGAAUUUUAUUAAAAGAUUAAUUUUAACUUUGAUCAAUAUUUUGAGAAAACAGAUCCGAAUUCGUAAUUUGACGGUCCCGGAGAAUCCGUGAGAAAAUAUGGGACCUGGAUAUAUGUCCGGAAUCAAAUUUCGUGGUCCCUAGCCCGAGUAAUGAAUUUUUAUUAGAAAUUGUUAAUCUGAAGUUUUAAGGAUUUAAAGAAACUAAGUAAUGAUUUAUUUCAUGGGUAUUAGGUGUCACACCCCUUUUUUUUAACAAACCAAACUCUACUUAAAUCCUCUUAAUUAAAUAAAAAAAAUUUAUUUAGCUUGAGAAGGGUUUUUCAAUUUUGAAAGUGACAAAAAUUUGUUUCAAAAGGAAAUAAACUCAGAGUCGCCACCUGACUUUGAUUUCGGUGUGCCAGGUCACCGUUCUUUUUAAAAAUAGUUAUUUUUCCUUUUAAAACAUUUCUGACUCUAAAACCAAGUCCGCACCAGAGAUUCAGGUAAAUGGGUUCAUUUGACUCGGGGAGAAGGUGUUAGGCACUCCCCAAAUUCCGUGAAGGUCACGGUUGCGUACUUGAUCUAGUUGGCUUUUUAAAACAUUUAAAUUGAGGUAAAUUACAAAAAAGCAAAGCAAACACACAUGAAGCUCAAGGUCGUCCCUACCUAAUAAAAGAAAAUAAAACAAAAUGAAAUUAGUCUUGAUAAUAACCUAUAUUACGCCUCCAUUGAUGUUGCCGCGGCCUCCAAAUACAAGUACUUUGGGGCAUUCCCCGGAAUAAAAUAUACACAAGUCCUUCGGACAUUCCCCGGAUAAAUUUAAUUAAGGGAACGACCUCUCGCCUCGAAACUAACAAAAUCCUAAGAUUUGCCUAUCCGAGUGUGAUCGGUCUAAACAUGCUCCUAGCGAGUCAAUGAGCAAAUGCAAAAUAAAAAUAAUAGAAAUCCAAUUGAUUCUAUUUAAUCAAACCCAUACUCAUCCGACAAUGAGUUUCAGUUUUCUCAAAUAAAUACCUUCCAAUAUCAAUUUCCUUCAUUGUGGACACCUAAUUAAGCAUGAAUCAUCUUCUCUCUUUUUUUAACAAAAAAAUGCAUACACCAGCAAUGAGCAUUUGUGAAAUCGUGGCACUACUGAACAAUCAUGUUUUGCUCCAUUAACCCAAGCAACUAAAUCUUGUUUCCAAAUUAAACAAUUUAAAUUCAAGAUAUCAUAAAGGAGAAAGAAAUUCGCAUCAAUCCAUCACCCAAACACUGUAUAAGAUAGAGUCAAUAAAUAUAAGGAAAGGAUAGUAAUGAACCUCAAAUUGAUAGCUUUUCCGAUUACAGUAGCAGUGACGGAACAAGAAUCAAGACCCGAGCUCGACCGGAAAUCCUCGUCGGCAACCUCGACGAACUCAAAUUGAAUCACGGCUCAUUCACAAUCUGAUUCGCUUGGAGCGGUUGGGAAACGAUGGCGGGCUGCUAGUUCCUCUCGUUCGCUGCCUCUGUUUUUCCCAUGUUCUCGAUUGUGCGUGCGUGUGUGGCAAAUGACUAUGAGGGUCUCGAUUUUCUGUCAAGCCAAAGGGUUGAAAUGGCUAUAGAGAAUGUUUUAUUUGUGUUUGUUUGGUUCCGAAAGCUAGUUUGGAGAUCAGUCCUUUUUUUUCGUAAAAAAUGAGGUCUGCCGUCUCUUUGUUGUUUAGGAUAUUAAAAUGUUUGGCUCUUUCGUCGGUUUUCUUAGAAGUGUUGGCUCAUUUUUUGGUGAAAUUCCUGAAGAAGAAAUCAAUGGCUGCCUUAGUAUAUACGGCUCUUCGGUUUUUUGUGUCUUAAGGUUCAAAAAUGAAGAAGAAGACCUUGUCUCUUUACGUCUUACUAGGGUUUAUCUUUUUAGGAUUGGGCUCAAAAUCUUGUGGCCUAUUUUGAAUUGGACCAAAUUUGGAUAAGAAAAGCUUAACAAGCC
rnacentral:lncRNA from 1 species